rnacentral:rRNA from 1 species
AUUAAUUCGAUGCAACGCGAAGAACCUUACCUGGUCUUGACAUGUACGGAACCCUCCAGAGACGGAGGGGUGCCUUCGGGAGCCGUAACACAGGUGCUGCAUGGCUGUCGUCAGCUCGUGUCGUGAGAUGUUGGGUUAAGUCCCGCAACGAGCGCAACCCUUGUCAUUAGUUGCCAUCAUUAAGUUGGGCACUCUAAUGAGACUGCCGGUGACAAGCCGGAGGAAGGUGGGGAUGACGUCAAGUCCUCAUGGCCCUUAUGACCAGGGCUUCACACGUCAUACAAUGGUCGGUACAGAGGAUAGCCAAGCCGCGAGGUGGAGCCAAUCUCACAAAACCGAUCGUAGUCCGGAUUGCACUCUGCAACUCGAGUGCAUGAAGUCGGAAUCGCUAGUAAUCGCAGGUCAGCAUACUG